rnacentral:lncRNA from 1 species
AAGAGGACAAUGGCCACAGCGCGUCUGAGGACAGGGGCCGUGUUACUCAGGCAACAGCACAUUCAGGCCAAGGCUCCAGGGCCUGGGGGAGGACUAUGCCUGUGCGGGGACCACAUGGUCAAUAGCACUGGAGUCAGAGCAGCAGGCGGCCUCCCCUGGGCUGGAACAGGUGGGACUCUAGGAGCAGCCCAGCCUUACCUGGCAGGAGACAGUGCACACUCCAGAGAUGGGACGGACCCAGGGCUAGCAGGACUAGAAAUUUCAUCUCCAAAGCCAUCGAUGACACCUUGCCUGCAGUCACUGGAGUCCUCAGGCCACCCACUGUGCAAACAUGUCAUCAAGAAGCCAUCAGAGCUCUAAUGACUACAAAGAAGCUCUUCUCCCAGGGAUGAGGACUGGCUUCCUGCGGCUGGCAACAUUCCCACAACAGGCUCUGCAGUGACACAGCAGGCCAGAGGACGGGUGUCAGGACUCCCAGCUGGGAACCCAAUGCACGCAGCCUUCUCUGCUCCUCUCAGCAGCCCGCCAGGAGAAGUGCCACCAGCCUGCCGGCUGCCAAGGCUCAGGUGCGGCAGAUGGGCCACCACUCACACGGGCUGGAGCCAGGGUUUGAACCCAGCCGUACCCUCUGAUUUAUGUGUCAGGCUGGCUGGGCUACGGUGCCCGGUUGCUCAGCCAAAUGCAAAUCUAGAUGUUUCUGUGGAGGUAUUUUGUGGCUAUGACUAACACCUACAAUCAGUUAACUGCCCUGCUUCGGGCUCCUUCCUCCAUCUUCACUGUGCCAGGCCCCCAGCCAGAGAGGGGAUUUAAAGGAGAAUCUGGCUUUGUCCCCGCCUGGAGAAGCUCAUGUGGAUAUAGAACCUGUGACACCUAACACCAUUCGGGGGUGCAAGGAGAGCGGGAGUGGUGGUCACAGAGGUGACCCCAGUACCAGGAGCAGCAUGGGCCAAGGCCCAGGGGCAAGACAGCCCUGUGCUAUUCUCUGAGUCCUUUCCUCCAUCUCUCCACUGUGCAAAGCGUGGGAUUACAAUGCACAUUACAAGGGCUGGGAGACUUAGGGAGGCAGUUUCCUGAGCCCCGUGGAUACUCCCAGAGAUGGGCUCUGAGGCUUUCCUCGCAGGCCAGGGCUGUGGGGGCCUGAACCACCUCCUUCUUUGCAAAGGGACAGCCUGGAGCCACAGCCCAGGGCUGCUGUGAAGUGGUGCAUCUUUUCACCAAGUCACUUCUGGAUGUGACACAGACUGGACCUCAUGAGUGAGGCCCCCAGGGAAACCUCCCAGCCAGGUGGCUGAGCCCCACACCCAGAGGAGGCCAGCCUCAAAGGGAAGACACAGCCAGGAGGGGACAGCGCCUGCCCUUCCUCCGGCCACUGCACCUGCUGUGCACCGGCGCUAUAGCACAGCUGGGCAGAGUGAACCGCUGUCACCUGACUUCACCCACAUAGCAAUUUGUAUCUCUGAGACACUGGGAAAUUGAGGCACAGGUGGAAAUGGCAAUCCGUAGGUUAACACAGCUCAAUCAUUCAGAGCACCUGGACCUGGAGACAUCUCAGCUCUGCCACGUCCUUCUUGCAUGACCUCUAUGCAGUGAAUGCCCUGUGCCUCAGUUUCCCCAUCUGUAAAUUAAGAACCAUCACUGCUUCCUUGUGGGUCGUGAUCAGGAUGGAAGAACACAUUAAGAAGCCUCCUCAGAUGCCUAGCAUGUAAGAAACCUUGAUUAGAAUUACUACUCAGACCACAGAGCCAUUUCAUUAUUCUUAUUUUUGCCAUUAAGCAUGCUGUGAACAUUUGUGAAAUAAAUGAUUUUUCCUGGUGUUUUAUGAAAUGUUUAGACACACAACAAAAUUGAGAAAAAGUGUUUAGUGGGCCGGGCAUGCUGGCUCAUGCCUGUAAUCCCAACACUUUGGGAGGCCAAGGCGGGCGGAUCACAAGGUCAGGAGAUCGAGACC